rnacentral:rRNA from 1 species
AACGCUAGCGGCAGGCUUAAUACAUGCAAGUCGAGGGGCAUCAAGGUACACGAAAGUGUAUUGUUGGCGACCGGCGGACGGGUGAGUAAUAGGUAGGUAACCUACCUCAUACUGAGGCAUAGCUGGGAGAAAUUCCAGGUAAAUUCCUCAUGAGGUUAUAUGACACAUGUGAUAUAAUCAAAGGUAUCGCAAGGUACUGGUAUGAGAUGGGCUUACUGACCAUUAGCUAGUUGGUGAGAUAAGAGCUCACCAAGGCGAAGAUGGUUAGGGGUUUUGAGAGAGAGAUCCCCCACAUUGGAACUGAGAUACGGUCCAGACUCCUACGGGAGGCAGCAGUAGGGAAUAUUGGGCAAUGGGCGGAAGCCUGACCCAGCCAUGCCGCGUGAAGGAAGACGGCCUUAUGGGUUGUAAACUUCUUUACUAUGCGACUAACUAGAUUUACGAGAUAAUUCUAUAGAAUGUAGCAUAGCAAAAAGCACCGGCUAACUCCGUG